UGCAAGCAGGUGGCUGAAACCUUCUUAUCUGACUCCCCCAUGCCCAGCACAGAGCCUGGCAUGGAGUAGGUGCUCGGUACCUAUUUGCUGAGUGAAUGAAUGAGUCUCAGUUUCCUCAUCUGUGGAAUGAGAAUCUUGAAGUGCCGAGAAUCUUACCCUACUCCUUAGACCGUUGUGCAAUUCAGGCCUCGGUUUCCCUGCACACUGGAUAGCUGCAGACUUCCUGAAGCCCCCGGCCUUGUGGAGCCUGGCAGAGGGGCUGCUGCCUGCUCACCCCAGCCCAGUGUCCCAGGGACAGCAUGAUGGAUGAGGAUGCUGGGGGGGCAGGUGUGACACGCCCACACAUGCUUGGACCAACCAGGCCACCUUUUUAGGGAGCCUCCUGUUCAUUCAUUCAUUCGUUCAACAACUAUGUAUGAGCAUCUACUGUACGUUGCAACAUAGGGAUGCAGGAUUGAACAAAAUUCAGCACCAGGCAAGAAAGAAGAACCCACAGUACGCUAGGCUGUGGUAAGUGCAAGCCAGGAUAAUAAAGUAGAGC